GCAGCGAUCCUACAUAAAUAUAUGGAGGUCUCUGUCUGGCUUAGGACAGCUGGCUAAGUCUGAUCGUUCCCCUCCGUACAGCCUUUAAAACUGCCACUCUAAAUACUUGG